rnacentral:rRNA from 1 species
CUACGGGAGGCAGCAGUGAGGAAUUUUGCGCAAUGGGGGAAACCCUGACGCAGCAACGCCGCGUGAGCGAGGAAGGCCUUCGGGUCGUAAAGCUCUGUCAAGUGGGAAAAAGGUCUUUUGAUUAAUACCCAAAAGAUUUGAUGGUACCACUGGAGGAAGCACCGGCUAACUCCGUGCCAGAGCCGCGGUAAUACGGAGGGUGCAAGCGUUGUUCGGAAUUACUGGGCGUAAAGGGCGUGCAGGCGGUUUGGCAAGUCAGAUGUGAAAGCCCCGGGCUUAACCUGGGAAGUGCAUUUGAAACUGCCUUUCUUGAGUAUGGGAGAGGAGAGUGGAAUUCCCAGUGUAGAGGUGAAAUUCGUAGAUAUUGGGAGGAACACCCGUGGCGAAGGCGACUCUCUGGACCAAUACUGACGCUGAGACGCGAAAGCGUGGGGAGCAAACAGGAUUAGAUACCCUCGUAGUC